UGGGGAAUAUUGGGCAAUGGGCGAAAGCCUGACCCAGCCACGCCGCGUGAGUGAUGAAGGCCUUCGGGUCGUAAAGCUCUGUGGGGAGGGACGAACAAGCCUGUUGUUAACACCAGCGGGCCCUGACGGUACCUCCUUAGCAAGCACCGGCUAACCCUGUGCCAGCAGCCGCGGUAAUACAGGGGGUGCAAACGUUGCUCGGAAUUAUUGGGCGUAAAGCGCACGUAGGCGGUCUGUUAUGUCGGAUGUGAAAGCCCUUGGCUUAACUGAGGAAGUGCAUCCGAAACUGGCAGGCUCGAGUAUGUAAGAGGGUCGCGGAAUUCCCGGUGUAGAGGUGAAAUUCGUAGAUAUCGGGAGGAACACCGGUGGCGAAGGCGGCGACCUGGGACAAUACUGACGCUGAGGUGCGAAAGCGUGGGGAGCAAACAG
rnacentral:rRNA from 1 species